CACUACAAACAUCGGUGGUGACCGAUGAGCUUAGUGACUUACGACAGCUGAGCUCAACACCAUGGUCGGACGGCUUGGUGACCGGGAACUUACCUUGUGGUCUUUAAAUUUUGCAAUUAAGAUUCUGCAUAUUUGCUUGUUUGUGUGUCCUCCAUAUAUAUAUUAGCUAGGGAAGUUCCAUAUGAAGAAACUACUUGAUACUUUCUAUGACAUGUCAUGUCAUAUAGACACCAAACCUAAGAAACUGAUUUGUCCUCCACCAAUCAUCUUCCACUCCCAUCUCUUAUUCUGUCUUGUUAUCUAUGAAGCCCGUUCCGAUGGAUUUCAUGUUGUUAUCUUCUUUCUUCUUCUUCUUUUUGGUGCAAGAUCUAGUUUCUCGCGUGACUCUAGUUUCUUGUGGUUCUUAUCUCAGUUUUCCUUUUUUUUUUCUAAUGAUGAUGUUGCACAUUAACAAAAUAUCCUAUGUUGCAGCAUAUUAAAUGAUAUGGAAAUUAUCCUAGUUAUAGCAUUGGAAAUGCCCUUAUCAUAGAUGCACUAAUUGGUAGGAUUAGCUCUAGGUUGUAAAAUUCUUUGCUGGUUGGUUAAAACAUUGUAAAAUUCUUCAUUGGUUAGUUAAAACAAAGCACUCUAAAAAAACUAAAGCGCACGUUGUAGGUUGUAAAAUUCUUCAUUGAUUGGUUGAAACAGAGUUACAUACCAGUCUUAAAUAAACUAAAGCACACGUUAUACGAGUUAGUUUGGUCCUCAUUUUCUCCACAAAUUAUAUACUUUAAACUAGGGGAGUAGAUUCUCAUGUUAUCUAUACCUACUAGUAAAGAGGCAAAAUUUCAGUCCACUUUUUUUUUUUCCCCGCUCGUCUCCCAUCCGCUUCCCCGCGUCCCCGUCCUUGCGUGUCCGAUGCUUCUCUCCUCCCGGCUUCCUUGUCCGUCUGCCUCCCGCGAUGUUAGCAGAGGCACUCGGGCACAAAAGCGGUGGUCGGCGGCCUCCCCUAGACGAGCAGGUGCAUGCC
rnacentral:lncRNA from 1 species